AUGAAUAUACUCAAUGUUCUGAUUUUGUAAUAAUCAGGACAGGCUAAAAUUUUUCAAAAAUAAGACCAGGAAUGUGUCACCAGACUUAGUUUUUUACCUAUUUAGGUUUGGUCUUAGAAAUGAUUGUGAUAAAG